UACAGAGGUCUCAAGCGUUGUUCGGAUUCAUUGGGCGUAAAGGGUGCGUAGGUGGCGCCGUAAGUCAGGUGUGAAAUCUCGGGGCUCAACCCCGAAACUGCACUUGAUACUGCGGUGCUCGAGUACUGGAGAGGAGAUUGGAAUUUACGGUGUAGCAGUGAAAUGCGUAGAUAUCGUAAGGAAGACAGUGGCGAAGGCGAAUCUCUGGACAGUUACUGACACUGAGGCACGAAGGCCAGGGGAGCAAACGGG
rnacentral:rRNA from 1 species